rnacentral:rRNA from 1 species
AACGAACGCUGGCGGCAUGCCUAACACAUGCAAGUCGAACGAAGGCUUCGGCCUUAGUGGCGCACGGGUGCGUAACGCGUGGGAAUCUGCCCCUCGGUUCGGAAUAACAGUUAGAAAUGACAGCUAAUACCGGAUGAUGACUUCGGUCCAAAGAUUUAUCGCCGAGGGAUGAGCCCGCGUAAGAUUAGGUAGUUGGUGGGGUAAAGUCCUACCAAGCCGACGAUCUUUAGCUGGUCUGAGAGGAUGAUCAGCCACACUGGGACUGAGUCACGGCCCAGACUCCUACGGGAGGCAGCAGUGGGGAAUAUUGGACAAUGGGCGAAAGCCUGAUCCAGCAAUGCCGCGUGAGUGAUGAAGGCCUUAGGGUUGUAAAGCUCUUUUACCAGGGAUGAUAAUGACAGUACCUGGAGAAUAAGCUCCGGCUAACUCCGUGCCAGCCGCCGCCGUAA